CUGAGUUGACAGAUGUUAUGUUAAUGUAUCCUGAGUUGACAGAUGUUAUGUUAAUGUAUCCUGAGUUGACAGAUGUUAUGUUAUAUCCUGAGUUAAUGGUAUGAAUGUGAGUUUGUAAGUUGAUAGAUGUUAUGUUGACAUGUUAGAAUUGACAGUGGAAAUGUGAAGUUUAAAGUUGACAGAUUUAUUUUGGUACGUCUUGAGUAUAUGGUAUAAUUGAGAGGUUUAAAGUUGACAGAUGUUAUGUUAAUAUAUCCUGGCUUGAUGGUAUGAAUAUGAGGUUUAAAGGUGACAUGUGUUAUAUUGAUAUGUCCUGAGUUGACAGUGAGCAUGUGAAGUUAAAGUUGGCAGAUGUUAUGUUAUAUCCUAAGUUGAUGGUAUGAAUGUGAAUUCAAAGUUGAUAGAUGUUAUGUUAAUAUAUCCUGAGUUGACAGUAUGAAUGUGAGGUUUAAAGUAGACUGAUGUUAUGUUAAUGUAUUCUGAGUUGACUUUAUGAAUGUGAGGUUUAAAGUUGACAGAUGUUAUGUUUGAUACCAAUUUGAUGGUAUGAAUAUAAGGUUUCAAGUUGACAGAUGUUAUGAUUUUAUGUCCUGAGUUGACAGUAUAAAUGUGAUGUUGAAAAUAUGUUGUUUAAAUUUGAGAUUUCAAGUUUACAGAUGUUAUGUUAAUAUAUCAUGGGUAGAUGUUAUGAAUGUGAGGUUGACAGAAUGAUCCUUAAAGAUUUUAUGUAAUGUUAUACCAUUGUCUUUCAAAGUUGUUUGUUGUAAUAAAUGAUAUUUGUUAUUACUGUUUUUAAUAUUUCAUAGUUUUAAAUCAAUUUGGAAGGAUCCA
rnacentral:lncRNA from 1 species